UCCUAAAAUCUUGUCGAGGUUUGAGCUU
rnacentral:sRNA from 1 species